rnacentral:rRNA from 1 species
GAAACUAAAUAGGAUUUCCAUAGUAACGGCGAGUGAACUGGAAUUAGCCCAUCACGAAAUCUAUUGCCUUUGGCUUUCGACAUGUCGUGUAUAGAUUUGAUUUUGGUUUUGCAUAUCGACAACUAAAUGUAUUUAAACAUACUGCCAUAGAAGGUGCUAGCCCUGUAUGUUGUUGAUUGUCUCAAUCCACUGAUCUUAUCUUAGAGUCGUGUUGCUUGGAAGUGCAGCACAAAGUUGGUGAUAAACAUCAUCUAAGGCUAAAUAUUCCCAUGAAUCCGAUAGCGAACAAGUACUGUGAAGGAAAGUUGCAAAGCACUCCGAAGAGAGAGUUAAAGAGGACGUGAAACCGAUACGAUGGAAGCGUACAAAGCCAGUCGCAGUUUUAUUUUUUCUAAAAAUGAUUCUAAGCAUGAGAACUUUGGUUGUUUAUUUGUAAAGUCAUUUAGGUCGACAGUCUCGGUUGUUAGUUAAAUGACGAUAACUCUUAAUCAGCUAAAGCAUCAUUCAUCUGGUGAUGAUUGGUUGGAAUUUGUGUUUUCUUUUGUAUUGCACAUGUGUAAUGCUUUUCUAAAUAUGAAUGAAGGCUAAUUUAUCCAGGUUGACUCUUAUAUAGUCCUGGUAUGUUGUACGUCCCGUC